CUAUCAUUUAUGACUGUCAUGUUCUAAAAUUCCCGACAAUUGGUUAUUAUUUCUCGACAGUUGUGAUACAAUGUCAAACUUGUUUUAGCUGCUCUUCCACAUAUGUUACGAAGUAAAUGCAAUACAUAUCAUCAUCUGAACUUCAGUAUUUGUUCAUGUCACUGAUUUUUGCAGAUGAAUUUCAUAUUUGUUCUAGCAAAAGAGGAACAUCUAUAUGCGACAUAUCUCAACACUAUAGUUUGAAGUUCAUCAAGACGGUUCUUGAUAAAUGUACUUCCAAAAUUCUUGUCUUGGGUUCCUGACAAAUUUGCCUGACAAUAAACAUCUUAUUUUUACAUAGAUUGACAAACUAUGAUGUCAUUGAAGGAGUCCCUGAAGGGCACGUCAGCAUCGUCUUCUAGUGAAGGAGCUCACCCGAAGGUGCCCUCAAAUGCUACCAAUCCAAUUGAAAAUGAAGAAAUGGUAAUAAUGAAGAAACGACGACGCGAAUUCAAAUACUGCAUGCUUCUAACCGAACUUCGUACAUUAGGAAUGGUAGGAAGUGAGGAAAAACAUGAAGUAGUUAAAAUUUGUUGAAUAGAAAACAUUGUCGUCCCUUUUUGAAUGGUUGAAAAUAGUGAAACUUGCAAGUUAUGAAGCUUAAUAAUCUAAUCUUUGUACUUUGAUGAUGGAA
rnacentral:lncRNA from 1 species